rnacentral:rRNA from 1 species
GAUGAACGCUGGCGGCGUGCCUAAUACAUGCAAGUCGAGCGAAUGGAUUAAGAGCUUGCUCUUAUGAAGUUAGCGGCGGACGGGUGAGUAACACGUGGGUAACCUGCCCAUAAGACUGGGAUAACUCCGGGAAACCGGGGCUAAUACCGGAUAACAUUUUGAACCGCAUGGUUCGAAAUUGAAAGGCGGCUUCGGCUGUCACUUAUGGCUGGACCCGCGUCGCAUUAGCUAGUUGGUGAGGUAACGGCUCACAAAGGCAACGAUGCGUAGCCGACCUGAGAGGGUGAUCGGCCACCCGGGGACUGAGACACGGCCCAGACUCCUCCGGGAGGCAGCAGUAGGGAAUCUUCCGAAAUGGACGAAAGUCUGACGGAGCAACGCCGCGUGAGUGAUGAAGGCUUUCGGGUCGUAAAACUCUGUUGUUAGGGAAGAACAAGUGCUAGUUGAAUAAGCUGGCACCUGGACGGUACCUAACCAGAAAGCCACGGCUAACUACGUGCCAGCCGCCGCCGUAA